ACAGCCAACUAGUUUCACAGAGGACAUCUGUUAACGUGUUAACGGUCGCUCCUUCUCUUUUUUUAUAACUUGCACUUGUUACUGAAUCAGAAUCAAACAUCACAGCUAUUUUACUACCAUCAAAGAUCUUUGAGAACUGGCUCGAUGAUGAAGAAGAUGUGUCAGCAGGAGGAGGUGGUUGAGCGAUGAAGGCAGGGAUCUCUGUGGAUCUGAUGAGCUGUUAUCUCUGCAUCGAUGGUGAGGUCACACAGGACUUGGGUCUUUUUCUUUGCCUUGGUCUUCAUCUUUUCCUUUGGGGUCUUCAUCUUUGUCUUUGGGGUCUGAACCCAGCUGAUGAGAGAAGUGCGAUUUGAAGCCACAUGUUGCUGAUGGGUUGGUCCCCAUGUGCAGGACAGUCUUCAGCUCUGUGGCCCCGUCUUCAGCUGCAGAGUUCUUUGUCCAUCUUGGUCUUGGCCCGAAGCUGCCUGGAGGAUCCAACCAAAGAUUCCUCUUUUGCUCUCCCCUUAUAUUGGGUUUAUACCCGCUUUCGGUGCAUUUGCAUUGGCUAACACUGUUGCUGUGCUUGUUUUAUUGGUUAACUGUUUGGACAGAUGAACUCAUUUCAUCUGUUCACUGGUCAGAACAAAAGGUCUUAGAGGUCUUACAGACCUUUUGUCCUGAUAUUUUGGCUAAUGUCUCAGGGUUGCUCAACGUUCCUCCCAUGUCUUUUCUCUGACACGUUUAAGUUGUUCAACAAUCUAUGUCCUAAAAAGGCAUUGGUCAUCUCUGCUUUCCUGUUAGUCCCCAUUUUACCCCUAACCUUUCACCUACUAUCCACCUCCAACACAUCAUCAGUGACCUUUAAUAGCAGUUACAUGUUUUACACCAUUUCAAGUUCAAUGUUAGAAUCACAUUCAUAACCCUUUUAGUUUUUCUGAUUUAGCAUUAACUUAUAAUUUUAUGAUAACCACAACUUAUUACU